AACUAGACGAGCUACUCUAAAACAGCCCACAGAGCCAACCCAUCCCUGUUGCAAAAGGGUGGGAAGAUUUUAAAGUAGAGGUGACACACCUACCGAGUCUAGAGAUAGCUGGUUAUUCAAAAAAUGGAUUUAAGUCCCACUUUAAGUUUUCUCAGUUUUAUUAAACAACUCAUAAACUUAAAAGCCAUUCAAAUAAGGUACAGCCUAUUUGAACAAGGAGACAACCUACAAUACAGGGUAAUGACCCCUAACAUGGCCAAGUAGGCCUAAAAGCAGCCAUCUUCCAAAAAGCGUCCAAGCUUCCCCACAGUAAUCCCUAAUCCCACUAUCAAUUCACAACCCUCAACCACCACUGAAUGACUCCAUAUCUAUAUGGAAGACAUCAUACUAGAACUAGUAACAAGAAGAUGAACUUCUCCAAAAUGCAAGUAUAAGCCAAAAUGAACCCUCACCGGCACCUAUCGCCACAACCCACAGUAUUUCCCCCACAAGAAAAUUCUACCAAUUCAAGCGCUAACUUUACACCAAAGCAUUACCGGAAAGA
rnacentral:rRNA from 1 species